rnacentral:lncRNA from 1 species
UAUUUAUAUGAGUUGAAAUGAGUCAGAUCAAUAUUCAGCCUCCAAUUCAUGUCAGCUUCUUUAUGAGCUCAGCCUCUGGUCCAAGUCGGCUUUCUUAUGAGCUCAGCCUCUUGCUCAGAUCAAUUUUAUAUGAACUCAACCUCCAAUUCAGGUCGGCUUCAUGAUAGACAGUCUCCAAUUCAGGCCGGCUUCAUGAUAGAUAGCCUCCAAUUCAGAUUGACUUUCUAAUGACCUCGACCUUCUGAUC